UACGUAGGGUGCGAGCGUUAAUCGGAAUUACUGGGCGUAAAGCGUGCGCAGGCGGUUUGGUAAGACAGAUGUGAAAUCCCCGAGCUUAACUUGGGAACUGCAUUUGUGACUGCCCGGCUAGAGUGUGUCAGAGGGGGGUAGAAUUCCACGUGUAGCAGUGAAAUGCGUAGAGAUGUGGAGGAACACCGAUGGCGAAGGCAGCCUUCUGGGCCAAUACUGACGCUCAUGCACGAAAGCGUGGGGAGCAAACAGG
rnacentral:rRNA from 1 species